AGUGUUUUUACUUUUAUCUCAA
rnacentral:snRNA from 1 species